rnacentral:lncRNA from 1 species
UCUUUCCUAGUUUUUAGCCAUAAUUGGCUUCAUGGAGUUGGUCUGUUUAAUUUUUCAGCUAAUCUUGAGUGUCUCCACUCCAUACAAGAUGCUCUGGAGGAAGGUGGAAAACCCUUUGCAACUGCCAUCUAAACAUCAGGUUUCCCACAGAGGUUUGCCUGCAAGUGUAACAAGUUCUUUCUUUUUACCUGAAUAAUUGGGUGACUGCCCAGAAAGAAAAAGAAUGAACUCUCCAGCUCCUGUCGGAUCUUCCUGAAAAUGAAUCUGUCUCCAACAGCUGAGAAGGCAGAAAAGCUAAAACCCUUUUGCUACUAAGAAGAUCUACCUACCUUCAGCUCUGUGAAGAGCCAUGUGACACUACUGGAACUUGCUUCCCUUGGAUUCUCGUGCUAAGUCUGAAAUUUACACAGUAGUGGAGCUUCCCAAUUGUUUAAUGCUAGGGACAUGUUCCUGAGGGACAGUCAAGGGCAUGGGUAAUCUUUUUCUGGCCUGUUGCUUAGCUUUUCAAUGUUGUCAACACUCCUUAUAAAAAUAUCGUUCUAUUUCAUGUUGCAAAAUUUGAUAUACCCAUUUCUCUUUUACAGAGCUCAAACCCAUAUGGCAUUUGCCUCCUGCUGAUACUUCCACACCAGGAAUCCCUUCAGCAAAGCAACUAAGACUCAAAGAGAAAUACAUAAUAUGUUCUUUGCUCCUUAUGCUCGUAUACCUAAGCCCUGUUCUCUAAAUCAGAGGCCCAGAGAAACCUCUGGUGAAGAUCAGGAAAUCCUACCUACAUUUCAACCUGGAAGCCGAAGAAUUUUCUAUUCUGGCAAAAUGAAUUUUAGGAUGGUGCCCCCAGAAAAGAUUUACAAAGCUACCUCUGUGAGAGAUGGCUGCUUCCAGAUCCCAAAGCCUCUGACUGAAUCAGUAACAGCAACUGCUGAAUGUGAGACCUCUCAAUUUAAUUCCGGGAAUCUGUAUCACCCAAGGAAAGACCUAGCACUACAGUCAACAUAA